rnacentral:rRNA from 1 species
GAUCCUGGCUCAGAUUGAACGCUGGCGGCAGGCCUAACACAUGCAAGUCGAGCGGAUGAAGAGAGCUUGCUCUCUGAUUCAGCGGCGGACGGGUGAGUAAUGCCUAGGAAUCUGCCUGAUAGUGGGGGACAACGUUUCGAAAGGAACGCUAAUACCGCAUACGUCCUACGGGAGAAAGCAGGGGACCUUCGGGCCGUUGCGCUAUCAGAUGAGCCUAGGUCGGAUUAGCUAGUUGG